AAAUCUAGCGGCGGACGGGUGAGUAACACGUGGGCAACCUGCCUUAUAGAGGGGAAUAGCCUUCCGAAAGGAAGAUUAAUACCGCAUAACAUUGCAUUUUCGCAUGAAGAAGCAAUUAAAGGAGCAAUCCGCUAUAAGAUGGGCCCGCGGCGCAUUAGCUAGUUGGUGAGGUAACGGCUCACCAAGGCGACGAUGCGUAGCCGACCUGAGAGGGUGAUCGGCCACAUUGGGACUGAGACACGGCCCAGACUCCUACGGGAGGCAGCAGUGGGGAAUAUUGCACAAUGGGGGAAACCCUGAUGCAGCAACGCCGCGUGAGUGAUGAAGGUUUUCGGAUCGUAAAACUCUGUCUUUGGGGACGAUAAUGACGGUACCCAAGGAGGAAGCCACGGCUAACUACGUGCCAGCAGCCGCGGUAAUACGUAGGUGGCAAGCGUUGUCCGGAUUUACUGGGCGUAAAGGGAGCGUAGGUGGAUUUUUAAGUGAGAUGUGAAAUGCUCGGGCUCAACCUGAGA
rnacentral:rRNA from 1 species